ensembl:lncRNA
CUGUUCCUUUUUUUUUUUUUUUUUUUGCUUUCAUUUAUGUACUUUUUUUAAAUCUAACCACAGGAUAAACCUUGAGUUAACAUACCAUGGAAUUAAAAAAUCAGGAAAAGAUGGCUCAACAGGAAUUGAAAAGGUCCUGUCAUUAUUUCCCAGAGCCUUGGUGUUGUAAAUUACAAUGCAAAAAAAGAAAAAAAAAAAGACUGUCAGGAAUUAUUCUUCAGAAAUGGUGCAUGUGGGAGAGGCCUGUUCAGAAAUGACACCUACGCUUAAAGGCCCUGUGCUUUGUCUUGGGAAGAAGACACAGCUAUACCGUCAAGGAGCUAUUCUUGUGGAAAAUGCCAGAACAGGCAAUUAUAGUACAGUGUGGAAGAUUAUAAAAGGAGGUGUGCAGGGAAGCAGAUAACCAUCUUAACAGAGGUAAGGGGACAGAUGUCAGGGGAUGGGUGUGUAGGAUUUAGCUGCUGAAGUGGGCCGUGGUGGUGAUGUGUUUGGCAGAGUUGUGAGGCAUGGAGAUUACCAAGAAGAGAGGCUGCUGGGACAAAGUUUUGCAAAUGAGCGAAAUGACAUGUUCAGAAAACUGCAAUUGCGUACACAUGAUCUGAAACAGGGAGGAGGGGGAGGAGGAGAAAGAGGUGGGAGAAGCUGAAAGUCAGGAUGGAGUGCUAAGGCCAUCUUUAUGACAGUUCUGGUAAACCAUGCCACGGACUUUAGGCUUGAUUCUAGAAGCAUGAGGGAGCACUGAAGGGAACUAAAGCAAUUUUCACUUUAGAAGGAUUACAAGGUUGACACGUCGAGAAAGGCGAAAGGGGAUUGAGACCGGGUAUAGGGACAUCAUUUAGGGAUCUGUAGGAACAAUGCAGGCAAGGAAUGAUGGCGGCCUGAGCCAGGGUAGCAGCCAUGAGAGGAAGAGGUACGGGAGAACUCAAGGUGUACUAUGAAGAGUGCAGGAGGAGGAGGGGAAAAAAGGAGUGUCAAUGCUGACACUCAGGUUUUGGCUUGAGGAAGCAAAGGUGUCAAGACUGACUUGGGACCCAGGGGGCAAGUGAUGGGUCAGGAGGAAGAUGAGGAUUGUUGUGGUUGUAGGUGGGUUUAGUCUGAUGGGCACUGGGAGAAAUAUGAGUCAAAGUAUAUGGUGGCAGUGCAAAUAUAGGAGGCCAAAGUCCUGGAGAAAGUUUUAGGAUAGAGUUGAAUUUUAGAAUUCUUACCUUUGGAGUAGAAAUUAAAGCCCACGGGUGGAUCUCAUUACCCAGGAAAAGUAUGAAAAGUGAGUAGCUGAGGGACCCAAUGAAGGGCCCCUAGGGAAAGACCAAAGAAAGAGGAAUCACCAAAAGAGUCUAGGAAAGACGAGUAAUAGAACUAAAGAAAAAUGUGCCCUCAAAUGAAGAGAAAAAGAAGUUUCCAGCAAAGGCAGGCAUAGCUAAGAGUGCCAACUGCUCCAAAGAGGCUGGAUCUGUGUAAGUACCAUAAGGACAGAAAUAUAAGGAUUAUAAGGUAACAUAAGGCAGCCGUUGGACUUAGUGACCAGGGGCCCCCAGGACCCUGGAUGUGGGUUUUUUUCCUGGAGACA